rnacentral:rRNA from 1 species
CGCAUCUGUGCAUGCAGCAUAUCAAUAAGCGGAGGAAAAGGCGGCGGAGAGUAUUGGUGUGGGCGUACCUACGCUUAGGAUGUUGACGAGACUGUCGAUCUCAUCUAUACAUGACUCUGUGCAUAUCAAUAAGCGGAGGAAAAGAAACUAACAAGGAUUCCCCUAGUAACGGCGAGUGAAGCGGGAAGAGCUCAAAUUUGAAAUCUUAAAGGGUUUCCCUUUACGAAUUGUAGUUUAAAGAAGUGUUUUCUGUUGAGGUUUUGGUAAAAGUUCUUUGGAAUAGGACAUCAUAGAGGGUGAGAAUCCCGUAUUUGACCUUUACUUUCAACUUUGUGAUACACUUUCAAAGAGUCGGAUUGUUUGGGAAUGCAGUCCAAAAUGGGUGGUAAAUUUCAUCUAAAGCUAAAUAUUGGCGAGAGACCGAUAGCGAACAAGUACCGUGAGGGAAAGAUGAAAAGAGCUUUGAAAAGAGAGUUAAACAGUACGUGAAAUUGUCAAAAGGGAAGCGUUUGACACCAGUGUUGUUUUUCUGAAAAUCAAUUAAAGAACUGUUUAUGCUAAGUUGUUUAGACUUUAUCAGCUAACUGUUUAGUUUUGAGCUUUUCUUUAAUGCACUUUUCAGUUAACAAGUCAACAUCAAUUUCUUUUGCUGUAAAAAAGCUUGAGGAAGGUGGCUUGAGAUUCGUCUUAAGUGUUUAUAGCCUCUUGCCUAUGCAGUCGGAGAGAUUGAGGUCUGCAGCGUAGAUCCUUCGGGGCUAAAUGCAUUUGUGCCUAAGUUAUAGCAUUUUAUAGACAACUUGUUGACUAUGAUUUGUCUUGUAGCUUACUCGCUUAUGUUAUUUUACCUACGCUUAGGAUGUUGAGCGCAUGUCUCUCUCU